AAGCAAACCGGUUCUAUCGCUGGCCUGUGCUACAGGAAAGAGGAAAGUCCGGGCAACGCAGAGCAACACGCUUCCUAACGGGAAGGCUCUCACUCCGGUGUGAGACAGAAAGUGCCACAGAAAAUAUACCGCCUACCACGUAGGUAAGGGUGAAAACGUGAGGUAAGAGCUCACGGUCUUACAUGGCGACAUGUAUUACGGUAAACCUCGUGUGUUGAAAGACCAAAUAGGUUGCGGACGUUGGGGGCUGCUCGUCCUCUGCUAUCUGAUAGCAUCCGCAAUGGGUAGGUUGAUUGAGCUUGCGUGUGAAUGCAAGCCUAGAUAAAUGAUAGAAGCCCGAAAGGGUACAGAACCCGGCUUACAAGGUUUGCUUCUUU
rnacentral:RNase_P_RNA from 1 species